CACUGUCACUCCUACGGGAGGCAGCAGUGGGGGAAUAUUGCACAAGUGGGCGCAAGCCUGAUGCAGCCAUGCCGCGUGUGUGAAGAAGGCCUUCGGGUUGUAAAGCACUUUCAGUCGUGAGGAAGGUGGUAGUGUUAAUAGCACUAUCAUUUGACGUUAGCGACAGAAGAAGCACCGGCUAACUCCGUGCCAGCAGCCGACGGUAAUACGGGAGGGUGCGAGCGUUAAUCGGAAAUUACGUGGGACGUAAAAGCGCAUGCAGGUUGGUUUUGUUAAAGUCAGAUGUAGAAAAGCCCGGGCUCAAACCUCGGAAAUAGCAUUUAGAAAAACUGGACAAAACUAGAGUACUGUAGAGGGGGUAGAAUUUCAGGUGUAGCGGUGAAAAUGCGUAGAGAUCUGAAGGAAUACCGGUGGCGAAGGCGGCCCCUGGACAGAUACUGACACUCAGAUGCGAAAGCGUGGGGAGCAAACAGGAUUAGAUACCCUGGUAG
rnacentral:rRNA from 1 species